AGGUAUUUAAUCUAAAAAAGAACACUGAUUUCGACUCAGCCCAUCGUGGUUAAAGCCCACGAAUACCUU
rnacentral:tRNA from 1 species